AUGGCCACCGCCUCGGUCCUCAUCCUGCUCGCAUCGCUCCUCCCGGCGCUAGCCGCCGGAACCGAUUGCUGCUCGCCCGCCGCUGACUACGGCUUGGCCCUCACGCCCAGUCACGAGUGCGGCGUCGUCAUGCGCGGGGGCACCUACGACAUGGGCACGUACGCUCCGGGCAGCGCGUACGAGGCCUCCCUGCGCCAUCUCGUCACCACCAUUCCCGCCAAGGCGAACGCGGAAUCCAGCGGCUCCUGUUAUUACAGGGACUCCUACCGCGACGACGCCGGCGCGGACGGGCGCUUUUACGUCGACGACGCCGGCGCGUGCGGGCGCUCUUACGUCGACGACGCCGGCGAGAGCCCCAACCGGAUUGUGGCCUCCGCCGACUGCUCAUGGCACCCGGAUGCCAAGUCGCCGGACUGCGGCGCUUGCAUCGCGCUGGCCUUCCAGGAGGCGCAGAGGCUGUGCCCGUUCCAGAGGAUGGCCGAGGCCGCGGUUGACGGCGGCUCGUGCAACUGCAGCGCACACUUCCACGACUACGACAUCAUGGAGCAGUUCCAUCACGGUGACCUCAACAGUGAUCCUCGGUGGGCACCGGACCAGGUCAUGGGCAUUGUUGCAGAAAAUGAGGAGAACAACACGAGAAUGAGAUGGGCAUGCCGUAUCUUGGAGACAACAGUCAUGGAGAUCUUAGCAAACCUUGGGUGGAUAUCUAGUAGGAGAAUUUGUGCCUAG
rnacentral:rRNA from 1 species